GUGGGGAAUAUUGGGCAAUGGGCGAAAGCCUGACCCAGCAACGCCGCGUGAAGGAAGAAGGCUUUCGGGUUGUAAACUUCUUUUGUCAGGGACGAAAAAAAUGACGGUACCUGACGAAUAAGCCACGGCUAACUACGUGCCAGCAGCCGCGGUAAUACGUAGGUGGCAAGCGUUAUCCGGAUUUACUGGGUGUAAAGGGCGUGUAGGCGGGAAAGCAAGUCAGAUGUGAAAACUAUGGGCUCAACCCAUAGCCUGCAUUUGAAACUGUUUUUCUUGAGUACUGGAGAGGCAGAUGGAAUUCCUAGUGUAGCGGUGAAAUGCGUAGAUAUUAGGAGGAACACCAGUGGCGAAGGCGAUCUGCUGGACAGCAACUGACGCUGAGGAGCGAAAGCGUGGGGAGCAAACAGGAUUAGAUACCCCGGUAGUCC
rnacentral:rRNA from 1 species